rnacentral:rRNA from 1 species
AACGGAGAAGUAAUUUUUGUUAGCAAUACAGAAAGUUUUUUUAGUGGCGAACGGGUGAGUAAUAUAUAGGAACUUACUCAAUAGUGGGGGAUAACAGUUGGAAACGACUGCUAAUACCGCAUAUUCCCGAGAGGGGAAAGGUAUUUAUAUCGCUAUCGAAGAGGCUUAUAUCUGAUUAGCUAGUUGGUGAGAUAACUGCUUACCAAGGCAAUGAUCAGUAGCCGGUCUGAGAGGAUGAUCGGCCACAUUGGGACUGAGAUACGGCCCAACUCCUACGGGAGGCAGCAGUAGGGAAUAUUGGACAAUGGACGAAAGUCUGAUCCAGCAAUGCCGCGUGAGUGAUGAAGGUGUUAUGCAUCGUAAAGCUCUUUUAACAGGGAAGAUAAUGACAGUACCUGUAGAAUAAGCACCGACUAACUAUGUG